GCCUGGGUAGCUCAGUCGGUUAAGCAUCUGGCUUUGGCUCAGGGCAUGAUCUCACAGUUCGUGGGUUCGAGUCCCGUGUCGGGCA
rnacentral:tRNA from 1 species